ACACGUAGGUGGCGAGCGUUGUCCGGAAUUACUGGGUGUAAAGGGCGUGUAGGCGGGAGAGCAAGUCAGAUGUGAAAGCCCAAGGCUCAACUUUGGGACUGCAUCUGAAACUGUUCUUCUUGAGUACUGGAGAGGGAAGCGGAAUUCCUAGUGUAGCGGUGAAAUGCGUAGAGAUUAGGAGGAACACCAGUGGCGAAGGCGGCUUCCUGGACAGAGACUGACGCUGAGGCGCGAAAGCGUGGGGAGCGAACAGGAUUAGAUACCCUGGUAGUCCACGCCGUAAACGAUGGAUACUAGGUGUAGGAGGUAUCGACACCUUCUGUGCCGGAGUUAACACAAUAAGUAUCCCACCUGGGGAGUACGACCGCAAGGCUGAA
rnacentral:rRNA from 1 species